rnacentral:rRNA from 1 species
AUUGAACGCUGGCGGCAUGCUUUACACAUGCAAGUCGAACGGCAGCACGGACUUCGGUCUGGUGGCGAGUGGCGAACGGGUGAGUAAUACAUCGGAACGUACCCAGUAAUGGGGGAUAACUAUCCGAAAGGAUAGCUAAUACCGCAUACGCCCUACGGGGGAAAGAGGGGGAUCGCAAGACCUCUUGUUAUUGGAGCGGCCGAUGGCUGAUUAGCUAGUUGGUAGGGUAAAGGCCUACCAAGGCAACGAUCAGUAGCGGGUCUUAGAGGACGAUCCGCCACACUGGAACUGAGACACGGUCCAGACUCGUACGGGAGGCAGCAGUGGGGAAUCUUGGACAAUGGGCGCAAGCCUGAUCCAGCAAUGCCGCGUGCGUGAAGAAGGCCUUCGGGUUGUAAAGCGCUUUUGUCAGGGAGCAAAUCCUUGUGGCUAAUACCCACCGGGGACGAGAGUACCUGAAGAAUAAGGACCGGCUAACUACGUGCCAGCCGCCGCCGUAAAAC